AUUGGUUUUCCUUUAUAUGUGAUUGUUUUCUUCUCCCUAGCAGCUUUGAAGAGUUUUUCCUUGGUCUCUAUUGAUCCUGUUUUGAUCACAAUGUGUCGGUGGGAUGUCC